rnacentral:lncRNA from 1 species
AUGAAAUCUGAUGAUUUAAUUGUCACGUUGAGCCCAAAGAAACAAGUUUAUUCAUUCUUUGCCACACAGCCCCUUCUGAGAUUAAAGGGAAACGCAUCUGCCACUCCUCCCACAUCAGUUUUCUCGACUUUAAAUAUUCCCAGUCUAGCAAGCUUCUGCCUAUGGCCCGGUUCCCUCCUGGAACCGUCCCUGUAUCUGAUGACAGAGAGAGAAACUGAGGCAAAGACCGGCUCGGAGAAUUUCCACACUGAUUAGUCAACAGUGGAAAAUCUGAAGAGAUGCAAGUAGGAAAAAGAAACUAAACCAGUUGUCAUUGUGAAGGCUGCUCAUGUAGAUGCCUGUCACUCUUUGAAAUUCAGGAGACAGCAUGCACAGGAUCCUGCCAGGCCCUCGGAGGACACCCAGCUGCAUGGCUCUCUCCAGCUUUUUCAUGGUAGCGACUCCAUUGUAUUCUUUCCUGACUCAUUCGUUUAUUCAUUCUUUCUUUGAGAAAACCUUUAGUAGGCACUGUGCAGCAGGCUCGUGGUAGGUGCUCAGGAAAUCUGGGCUCUGAAAGGCUCCUCCUCCCCCUUGUUAGAGCGGGGGCCUUGUUUCACCCAGGUGGGGACAGCCGUUUAUGUAGAGAGAAGCCAGAGGGACAGGGAGUUUGAUAACAGAACAGUUUGGUGAUGGGGAUGAGACAGAUGCGCUCUCAGCCACAUCAGGACAAAGCCCCCAUCACUGGCAGGCAGCAUCCCAAAGAAUGUGCACUGAAUUAGGAGUGAGGAAGAAUGGGUUCAAUCCCGAUUUGCUGACUAACCGGAUGGGGGCCUUAGGUGGCUCUGUGAGUCCUGGUCUCCAUUGUGAGGGUUAGAUAACCCUCAGGCAGUGCCUCUGAGGUACUUUCAGGACCGUUGCUGGGAAGAGUAUGCACUUAGUAAGUAUUGAAUGAAUGACGGAAGGAAUGAGGGAACGUUCUGUGAUUCUCAGUGCUAGAAGAGAACUUGAGCAGGUCAGGUGG